AUGCCAAGGAUGAUGCGGUCCUGGAGUCGGUCAUCCGGAUACUCGUCAAUCUGACGGUGCCGGUGGAGUGCCUCUUCUCCGUGGACGUGAUGUACCGCACGGAUGUGGGUCGCCACACCAUCUUCGAGCUGAACAAGCUGCUGUACACCAG
ensembl:ncRNA snoRNA:Or-CD16 snoRNA:Orphan CD box 16